AGUAUCACAUGUUCGCACUCUUUAGGGGUUGCACGAUUCAUAGAGUUAAUUCAACGGGGACAAUUUACCACCUCCUUACAACUAGAAGGAGAACUACAGCUAUAAAUAAAGGUUCUAGAUAUAAACACUUGUUAAUGAAGCUCAUUGCUUCAACUACCCUCGGAUUUCUCCGGUGCUGCCAAAUAAAAAGGAAAAAAAAGAGAGACAAGGUGACAAUGUUAGUACCAAAACCAACUUCACUUAACAGCAAGUAAUAAGAAGUGAUAACCAAAUACAGCACCAUGAAGAUGGAAAUUAUAAAUUAUACCAGCUAAAUAUAGUUGAGAUGAAAAAGAGUUCCCAAACAAAAAAAGAUCUCAUAAUACUUAAGAAAGUCAAUCAAGUUCGUCAUUGAUCAACUAAUAGUUUUAUCUGAAUUUUCCAAGCACAAAUCCCUCCGCAUAACAACUUUAGUACAUGGUUUUUCCUAAUUGUUCUUUUGAUUAGUUCAGCAAUUAAACCAUGUUGAUUAUCAUUUCUAUAUUGGCUAGGUCUUUCUGUAGCAUCAUGACAUCAAGGGGACAGUGGCCUAAUGGAAGUGCCAGUCAGGGCAUUUCAUGGUGCUUUCCAUGAUAAGACAAAGGAGACUGGUGAGGCAGUGUCUCCUCCACUGGAGCUACACCAGCACAAUAACCUCUAAAUAGAAAUAUUUGAGAGCAAUACAAAAAGGUUCUCAGUCAAUUUAUAGAGGGCAUCUAGUUUUUCUAAGAGGAGGUUCUACCUGCGGAAUACAUGGCCAAGAUAAAAACAAGUACUUACUCUAAAAAUGGUUGUAGAGAGGAGAGAAAAAUAUGCAUGAUAUAAAUCAAAAGGUUAGAAGUCCAACUGAAUGCUGAGUGAGGCAUUAGGUGUGUUUAUAUAGAGGGAGAAAAAUGAUGAGAUGGAUCGGUUUAAUUACUCAUGAAAGAUGCCUUGUUUCAAUAAUUAAUUUAACCAAUGCAUCUCAUCAUUUUAUCCCACUAUGGGUACACACCCUAUGCCCUACUCACUAUAUGCAAACUUCCAACCUUUUGAUUUAUACAGAUUUUACCCCUCUCACUAUAUAAACACACCCUAUUCCUUACUCAAUACACACUUAAACUUCCAACCUUUUGAUAUAAAGUCUAUUGUCUGUAUGUGUACAUAUUUAUGUAGACACCAUAGAGAGCCAAAAGUUCAAACAUUUCCUGUGUUUCAUGUUAGGGCACUAAUUACGAGGUCACUGAGAUUCUCAAGGUUAAUGGAGAUGGCUGUAGAGACUUAAUUUACUAUAUAACCCUUACCGUCAAGAACGACGUAGAGGAAUAUUUUCAAGUUAAGGUGGUGGAACAUCUAUAUAAAUCUUUGAAGUUCCCAGUGUCAGGCCAAGGGUAAUAAGAUCUAUUGUACAUUCUUUUUUUUUUAAGUUUCCUAAAAAGAAUGACCUACUUUUUUUAAUAUGUAAAAAAAUUAAAGUAUUAGGGUUAAAAAGUUAAAGUUAAGGGUUUAAUUCAAUCGAAAUAAUUUAAUUUCGUUAAGGGGAGGGGUAUUUUUGAACCAAAUAUUUAACAGAGGGGUAUUUUUUACCCAUUUAAGAUAGUUCAGGGGUAUUUUUGAUCCUUUUCCGAAUUCCGUUAGAGGGAGGGGUAUGUUUGAGCCAAAUAUUUAACGGAGGGGUAUUUUUUAGCAAAAAAUCUAAUGAGGGGCAUUUUUGAGCUAUUUCAGAUAGUUCAGGGGUAUCUUUGAGCCUUUUCCAUUGUUUUUAUCUUGAAAGAAAAUCUAUUAUGAUCGUAAUUCUAAAGCCAAUUGCCCUGUAAGAUUGAUAUCUCCCAUUUCAGUUCAAAGCAAGCCCGAAAAUUAAAUUUAAUCAUGCUCCAAACUAAGUUUUACUGGAAACCAACAACAAUACCAAUAUGGGCUCAAAACCCCCCAACGAAUCUGUUUUCAACAACAACCACACAUCCGAAAUGAAAUCAAAUUAGAACUCACUUUAGGAGUCAAACACGUAAACAGAAAAGGAGAGGAAAGGGGACAAUGGCACACAUAGGUGGAUACUCACAUACAAAAUCAUCUUUCAACAUGACAAAACAAGAGCUGGUUAAAACAAAAAUCCUAUGUCCUUGGAACUUUAACAAGAGAUGAAGGGAAAUUGAUGAAAACAAAGGGAGAGAUAUCGCACCUUAUCUGGUGCAGCGAAAUCGAGGCUUCAAAUGUCAAGAUUCCAACUAU
rnacentral:lncRNA from 1 species